rnacentral:lncRNA from 1 species
UGGGGUGGGGGUGGUGAGCCUAUUUUGUGGUGUCCAGUGGGCAGCAGGGGCCAGGCUGUGGCCUGUGCUGGGCAUCUGGUCUGACGUGGCUGCCACCCUGGAGCAAGGCCCCAAGGGGCCCAUCUCCUCAAUCCUGAGCCUGCAGCCCCAUGAUGGCUCACACACUAGGAUGGAUUUGGGCCACAGCCGGCUGCCAUCUCCCAGGGGCCUUCCCCGACUCAGCCCCACUGGACCGGACACCACGCAAUCAAAGCCUUUGACCACUGCGCCAGGGCUGAGCUGACUCCUCUUCUGGGCUGGAACUGUGGGGCUUGAGAGAAGGAAAUUGGGACCAGGCAGGCAGGAGGGGCUAAUGGUAUCAGGAGGUCAGGGCUGCGGGAAGAGGCAGCAGUGUUGGUGGUGUAGGGGUCUCUCCCCACGGCUUUACCUCUGCUCUUGCUGGGAUCCUGGUAUUUCACUUUCCAACUCCUGUCUACGUGUGCUAGGAAAGUCUAUCUCCUCCCCAGUCCUAACCCCAAUUUUUCACCCUCAGGAAAACCACAGAAGACCCUGAGCCUCCGGACAGGUGGACAACCCAGGACCGGUCCUGAAAUCCAGGGAAGCAACGGGGGUGGGGUGGAGUGAGGGGGGCACUUUCACAGGAGAGACAAUAAACGGAGAAAUGAUUCCGUCUGUCGCCAAAUCUGCCAAAGGUUUCUCCACGUUCCCCUCCCAUCAACUCAUCCUCUUUCUUCCUUGUAACAGCUUUACUGGGAUAUAAUUCACAUACCAUCCAAUUCACGCUUUUAAAUGAUAUCAUUUGUUGUUUUUAGUAUAUUUACAGAGCUGUGCAGUCAUCACCAUAUCUAAUUUUGGAAUAUUUUCACCAUCCCUAAGAAGAGGCGCUGUUCCCCAGAAAUGCUCCCCAUCUGCCCGCAGCAGCCCAGGCCUGGCUCCCACGAGUCUGUGUCCUGUCUCUGUGAGUCUGUCUGUUGGGGACGUUUUAUGUGCAUGAAAUCAUACCACACGCGGCCUCUCGUGCCUGGCAUCCUGCUUCCAAGGCUUCCCGUGCUGCCGCUUGUCAGUGUCAUUCCACUUUAUGGCUGAAUGACAUUCCGGCGUGUGGCCACGUUAUAUGACAUUCCGGUGUGCCGGCGUGUGGCCGCGUUAUAUGACAUUCUGGUGUGCUGGCGUGUGGCCGCGUUAUAUGACAUUCCACGUUAUGUGACAUUCCGGUGUGCUGGCGUGCGGCCGCGUUAUAUGACAUUCCACGUUAUGUGACAUUCCGGUGUGCCGGCGUGUGGCCGCGCAUCACAGGAUGGACACCUGGGCUGUUCCCAUGUAAUGUGGCUAUCACGACUGAUACGGUUAUUACGACUGAUACGGUUUGGAUCUGUGUCCCUGCCCACAUCUCCUGCUGAAGCCUAGCCCCCAAUACUGGAGGUGGGACCUGGCAGGAGGUGGCUGGAUCAUGUGGGUGGAUUUGGCAUGAACGGCUGAACACCGUCUGUUGGUGCUGUCCUCACUGUAAUGAGUGGGUUCUGGUGAGGUCUGGUCGGUUAGAAGUGUGUGGCCCCUCUCCCCACCCCUUGCUCCUGCUCUUGCCAAGUGAUGUGCCCGCUCCCCCUUCGCCUACCACAGUUGAAUGUUUCCUCGAGGACUCCCCAGAAGCAGAGGCCAACACCACGCUUCCUCUACAGCCUGCAGAACCAGAAGCCAAUCAGACCUCUUUUCUUAUGAAUCACGCAGUCUGAGGUAUUUCUCUACAGCAGUGCAGGAAUGGCCUGAAACAGGGACUCAGGUUGCUGUGAAUGCCUGAGUGAGUUUACGUGUAGAUGUGUGCUUUCAUCUCUGGCCGCAGAGCUGUGGGGCCAUGUGGUGGCUGUGUCCAACCUUUUGAGGAACUGCUGGACUAUGUUCAUAGCAGCUCAUCUCAUCUCUUACCUUAAAGAUGCUCUAUGUCAAAUGCCAGCAUUUGAUCAACACGUAAUCAGCAUGUUAGUUUUCCUCUUCACGAGCAUCACAGUGCUAGCCUUGCCUACUACCUCCUCCUGAAAAUGGACUUAUCUGAGUGACUUUCAAGAUGUCUGUAGGUUAUGCAGACCUCUGUGGGCUGGCCGGGGCCCAGAACCAGCUCUGACAGUGUCCCUUCGACUUCCUGCUGGAGUUCUGCACCUGUACAACUGCACCCGGGCCCCCCGGCCCUGUACGCUGCUUACCCUGUACGCUGCUCAUGCACUCAGGCAGGCUGCAAGUGCCGGAUGGCCUGGGAGAUGGGCACUGUGGGUUGCUAGUUUAUUUAAAGGUAUGUUUACUAAAUGGCCUUAGGAAACCCAAGAAAAAAGUGUUGCCCAAGUAGACUAUUCCAUUCGCUGGCACUGAUGCACCACAGGCAGGACGUGGUCCAGUGGAACUCACAUGGGCUGGUGGGAGAGGGCACUGGUCCAACGGAACUCACACGGGCUGGUGGGAGAGGGCACUGGCCCUGCGCGUCCCACUCCCUGCAGGUGAACUGUUCCUGAGCCCAAGCUCCCAGCAGCAUCCCUUCUGCCCCUGCCCCUGCCCAGCUCUGUGCUGUGGGCCAGAGCAUGUGCCUCCUCGGUUCCCUCUUUCUGCCUCCUGGCCUCCCUUAAGGUCAGAAAGGGGCCAGUGCUGAAGCCUGAGGCUGAAGCGCACAGCACACAGCCGCCCUGGGGCCUGGGAGCGCU